AUUGAACGCUGGCGGCACGCCUAACACAUGCAAGUCGAGCGGCAGCGCGAUAUGUAGCAAUACAUAUUGGCGGCGAGCGGCGGACGGGUGAGGAACACGUAGGAACCUACCCUCGAGUGGGGGAUAACCAAGGGCAACUUUGGCUACUACCGCAUGACUUAGAGAGAGCAAAGCUGCCGCAGGGUGGCGCUCGAGGAGGGGCCUGCGGCCGAUUAGCUAGUUGGUGAGGUAAGAGCUCACCAAGGCGAUGAUCGGUAACAGGUCUGAUAGGACGACCAGUCACACUGGGACUGAGACACGGCCCAGACUCCUACGGGAGGCAGCAGUGGGGAAUAUUGGACAAUGGGGGCAACCCUGAUCCAGCGAUGCCGCGUGAGUGAAGAAGGCCUUCGGGUCGUAAAGCUCUUUAGGUUGGGAAGAAGAGUGAUGGAGGAAAUGCUAUCACUUUGACGGUACCGACAGAAUAAGCACCGGCAAACUCUGUGCCAGCCGCCGCCGUAAAAC
rnacentral:rRNA from 1 species